rnacentral:rRNA from 1 species
AUUGAACGCUGGCGGAAUGCUUUACACAUGCAAGUUGAACGGCAGCACGGACUUCGGUCUGGUGGCGAGUGGCGAACGGGUGAGUAAUGUAUCGGAACGUGCCCAGUCGUGGGGGAUAACGUAGUGAAAAUUACGCUAAUACCGCAUACGAUCUAUGGAUGAAAGCGGGGGAUCGCAAGACCUCGCGCGAUUGGAGCGGCCGAUAUCAGAUUAGGUAGUUGGGGGGGUAAAGGCCCACCAAGCCAACGAUCUGUAGCUGGUUUGAGAGGACGACCAGCCACACUGGAACUGAGACACGGUCCAGACUCCCACGGGAGGCAGCAGUGGGGAAUUUUGGACAAUGGGCGAAAGCCUGAUCCAGCCAUUCCGCGUGCAGGAUGAAGGCCCUCGGGUUGUAAACUGCUUUUGUACAGAACGAAAAGGUUUCUACUAAUACUAGGAGCUCAUGACGGUACUGUAAGAAUAAGCACCGACUAACUACGUGCCAGCCGCCGCAGUAA